GAGGGUAUAGCUCAAGUGGUAGAGCCCAUGCUUAGCAUGCACGAGGUCCUGGGUUCAAUCCCCAGUACCUCCU
rnacentral:tRNA from 1 species